rnacentral:rRNA from 1 species
ACGGAGGGUGCGAGCGUUGUCCGGAAUCACUGGGCGUAAAGGGCGCGUAGGCGGCCAGGCAGGUCCGCUGUGAAAACUCGAGGCUCAACCUCGAGAUGUCGGUGGAAACCGCCUGGCUAGAGUCCGGAAGAGGAGAGUGGAAUUCCCGGUGUAGCGGUGAAAUGCGCAGAUAUCGGGAAGAACACCCGUGGCGAAGGCGGCUCUCUGGGACGGUACUGACGCUGAGACGCGAAAGCGUGGGGAGCGAACAGGA